AAACAUCUAAUGAUUAAUCUUAAUUACUGGUGAUGUAAUACACAGGUAAAUAUGGAGACCAAAGUGAAAUCGACGAAGAGACUGUCGCCGAAAUUAUAUACCAAGAACUUCAAAUUGUGCGAUCCCGCCGAUCCGGGCUCAAUUUCACAAUAAACCGAAUCGAAAGCCAUGCAAUUAAACGGCUCAAACCCACAACUAUUUAUAUCAUUUU
rnacentral:lncRNA from 1 species